rnacentral:rRNA from 1 species
AACGUAGGUGGCGAGCGUUAUCCGGAUUUACUGGGCGUAAAGCGUGCGCAGGCGGUUUUGUAAGUCUGUCGUGAAAUCCCCGGGCUCAACCUGGGAAUUGCGAUGGAGACUGCAAGGCUAGAAUCUGGCAGAGGGGGGUAGAAUUCCACGUGUAGCAGUGAAAUGCGUAGAGAUGUGGAGGAACACCGAUGGCGAAGGCAGCCCCCUGGGUCAAGAUUGACGCUCAUGCACGAAAGCGUGGGGAGCAAACAGG